rnacentral:rRNA from 1 species
CCUACGGGAGGCAGCAGUAGGGAAUAUUCCUCAAUGGGGGAAACCCUGACGCAGCAACGCCGCGUGGGUGAUGAAGGUUUUCGGAUCGUAAAAUCCUUUUGUUAGAGAAGAUAAUGAAGGUAUCUAACGGAUCAGCACCUGCUAACUCCGUGCCAGCAGCCGCGGUAAUACGAAGGGUGCAAGCGUUACUCGGAACCACUGGGCGUAAAGAGCGCGGAGGCGGGAUAGCAAGUCAGAUGUGAAAUCCUAUGGCUUAACCAUAGAAGGGCAUUUGAAACUGUGAGUCUAGAGUACGGGAGAGGUAGGUGGAAUUCUAUGUGUAGGGGUAAAAUCCGUAGAGAUCAAGAGGAAUACUCAUGGCGAAGGCGACCCUCUAGUAUAUAACUGACGCUGAGGCGCGAAAGCGUGGGGAGCAAACAGGAUUAGAUACCCCUGUAGUC